rnacentral:tRNA from 1 species
GCAUCAGUGGUUCAGUGAUAGAAUGCUCGCCAGUCACGCGGGCGGCCCAGGUUCGAUUCCCGACCGAUGCA